AAGGUUGAUGACUAACUGGCUUAACCGGGUCGAUACCUUCCAAUGUUUUCAUUAUAUGCUUUUUUUGUUGUUUUCUUAAUCAUUAUUCGUUUUUUUUUUUGCUCUAUUAGAACCAACUAGGGAAACAUCGGAGGUAUCAAUCCUAUUCGGAAUAAUCAUGUGGUCCAUUCUCUCUCUUAACUUCGGCGGAAUAUGAGCAAAACGGCCAAUAUAACUAAUAAUAUCCUGGAUCAUAUAUCACCUAAAUGAACUUAUUUUUCAGGUGUCUGCCGGCUUCAAAUCUGUCGCAGAGAAAAUACCUAUGGGUUUACCCCACUCAUCUUUCAAAUCAUAACAAUUUGUGCCAACCCGCGCGAUUACUGUGCAUGGAACGUAACAAGGACCUAAUUUCGCAUUGUAGUUACUUGGCGCUGACGACUGUCUAAAAUUUCUCUUGAGAACUUUCUGUCCCACUGAGUAUGAAGGUUUCUUCGAACCAGGUCGUAAAUAAACUGAUCGAUGGCGUUUUUAGUUUUCAUUCUUUCCUUUUCCGAAAUAUCCAGGUCAUCGAGAUCUAAGCGAUGUUCAUCACCCCUAGUCACGAUUUCGUGACCGUAUAGUAUUCUG